AUUGAACGCUGGCGGCAGGCCUAACACAUGCAAGUCGAACGAGUGGCGGACGGGUGAGUAAUGUCUGGGAAACUGCCUGAUGGAGGGGGAUAACUACUGGAAACGGUAGCUAAUACCGCAUACCAUCAAAUGUGCCCAGAUGGGAUUAGCUUGUUGGUGGGGUAACGGCUCACCAAGGCGACGAUACCUAGCUGGUCUGAGAGGAUGACCAGCCAACCGGGAACUGAGACACGGUCCAGACUCUUACGGGGGGCAGCAGUGGGAAAUAUUGCACAAUGAGCGCAAGCCUGAUGCAGCAAUGCCGCGUGGAUGAAGAAGGCCUUCGGGUUGUAAAGUACUUUCAGCGGGGAGGCGUUACCCGCAGAAGAAGCACCGGCUAACUCCGUGCCAGCAGCCGCGGUAAUUC
rnacentral:rRNA from 1 species